AGUUCAAUAAAAAAAAUAUAAAAUUUAUGAUGAAAAUAUCAAAUAACUUUUAUUAAUCAAUAAUUCAUAUACAAUUUACAAGGAGCACAAUUGUUUACAAAUAGACGAUUGGCUUUAGUAUAUAUUUUCCAACAACUUUCACUUGGACUAAAGCCAAUCGGAAUAAUAUUUAAUACCCAUCUUUCCGUUGUGAUCAUCGAACUCUUUGAUUCCAAGGACUUUAGUAAAUGGGUCGGCCAAGCUCUCCUUUGCAUUGAUCUUCUGAAGCUCGACAUCAUCUCGAUCCAUGAUCUCUCACAUAAGGUGAUAGCUGAAGGAACCAGAUCUAGGAUUUCAAGAUUAGAUCUUGAAACUUUUUCAAGAUCUGACCGUGAAAUAUUAAAAUAAAUCAAAAUUUAUCUUAUAAAAUUAGAGAAUCCCUAAAUCUA
rnacentral:lncRNA from 1 species